rnacentral:rRNA from 1 species
UUCCAGACUCCUACGGGAGGCAGCAGUGAGGAAUAUUGGUCAAUGGGCGGGAGCCUGAACCAGCCAAGUCGCGUGAGGGACGACGGUCCUAUGGAUUGUAAACCUCUUUUGUCGGGGAACAAAGGCGCCCACGGGUGGGCGGAUGAGUGUACCCGAAGAAAAAGCAUCGGCUAACUCCGUGCCAGCAGCCGCGGUAAUCCGGAGGAUGCGAGCGUUAUCCGGAUUUAUUGGGUUUAAAGGGUGCGUAGGCGGGCUUUUAAGUCAGCGGUAAAAAGUCGGGGCUCAACCCCGUCCGGCCGUUGAAACUGGGGGCCUUGAGUGGGCGAGAAGAAGGCGGAAUGCGUGGUGUAGCGGUGAAAUGCAUAGAUAUCACGCAGAACCUCGAUUGCGAAGGCAGCCUUCCGGCGCCCUACUGACGCUGAGGCACGAAAGUGCGGGGAUCGAACAGGAUUAGAUACCCUGGUA